rnacentral:lncRNA from 1 species
UGUUAAAUAUUUUAAUUGUCCGAAAAUAGAACUCCAACGAUUCUAAAAAUAUUUUCAUGUCCGACAGUAGAACUUCAUUGAAUUUUAAAUAUCUCAAAUGUCCGACAAUCCAUCCAUCCUUGAUUCCUUUCCGUACAGUCAAACGUGGUAAUCAUGGAGGAAUCUUUUGGCUCCGUCAGUAGGUGGCUAAAAUCAAGUUGUCCGCCAGAUGACGCGAGUGACUUUGAGAGGACGAAAUUUUCGCCAGUUUGUUCCGAAACGCCAAGUGAAAAGGUAUUCCAAAUUCGUUACGGAAUUUCGGUGUCGAUCUACAUUUUCAGAAUUGAAAUUUAAUGGCAAUCUGGAAUAUAAUUUCCACUUGGCCAAAUAAUCGAUCACGUGGACUGAAACUGCUUUCCAUUUGCCGAAAUGUCGUCCGUUGUUAGCUGUACCUGUUCGGAUGUACAUCUCAUCUCACGCAGACGCAGAAACACUACAGUUGGUGUUCAGGUUGGACUUUGGAGAUCCUGUUGCUUAACUGUUGUAGAAUGUGAGAACUAAAAAAAUUCUGAGCUCCAUGGCUGGCAUCAUGGCCACAGUGGUUUUGUUGCAGCCAGCUGUUGAAAGGUGUGAUUGAGUCAAGUUGAGCUGCAGCUGCUGCGUGCAGUUUAUCGAGCUGGUGUUAUCCUGAAGUGUCAUUGCAGAAAGACUUUUUGAAAUGGACUUUGCGAAACUUAAACUAUGCCUGUGCUGUUCAAGGUGAAGUGGUUUUGCAGCCUGUUUCCAGUUGAGAGAUGUGAUAAUGCAGCUAAUACAGGAUUGAAGAAAAAGAACUGAAGUAGCUGUGCUGGUGUUCUCCUGAAAUUGCUGUGCCGCAGGAGUUGCAGAUAGUGUUUGUUUCCUCAUAAAAGUUAUUUAAAGAGUCUGGAUAUGAUGAUCCACUUCUGACUUUAACUUAUGUAAAACUUCAAAGUUGUAAGAAAUA